CAGCCGCCGCGGUAAUACGUAGGGUGUGAGCGUUAAUCGGAAUUACUGGGCGUAAAGCGUGCGCAGGCGGUUGUGUAAGACAGGUGUGAAAUCCCCGGGCUUAACCUGGGAACUGCGCUUGUGACUGCGCAGCUAGAGUAUGGCAGAGGGGGGUGGAAUUCCACGUGUAGCAGUGAAAUGCGUAGAGAUGUGGAGGAACACCGAUGGCGAAGGCAGCCCCCUGGGCCAAUACUGACGCUCAUGCACGAAAGCGUGGGGAGCGAACAGGAUUAGAUACCCGCGUAGUCCCUGUCUCUUAUAC
rnacentral:rRNA from 1 species